GAUGAACGCUGGCGGCGUGCCUAAUACAUGCAAGUCGAGCGAACGGACGAGAAGCUUGCUUCUCUGAUGUUAGCGGCGGACGGGUGAGUAACACGUGGAUAACCUACCUAUAAGACUGGGAUAACUUCGGGAAACCGGAGCUAAUACCGGAUGAUAUUUUGAACCGCAUGGUUCAAAAGUGAAAGACGGUCUUGCUGUCACUUAUAGAUGGAUCCGCGCUGCAUUAGCUAGUUGGUAAGGUAACGGCUUACCAAGGCAACGAUGCAUAGCCGACCUGAGAGGGUGAUCAGCCACCCUGGAACUGAGACACGGUCCAGACUCCUACGGGAGGCAGCAGUAGGGAAUCUUCCGCAAUGGGCGAAAGCCUGACGGAGCAACGCCGCGUGAGUGAUGAAGGUCUUCGGAUCGUAAAACUCUGUUAUUAGGGAAGAACAUAUGUGUAAGUAACUGUGCACAUCUUGACGGUACCUAAUCAGAAAGCCACGGCUAACUACGUG
rnacentral:rRNA from 1 species